UUUAAUUGAACUAUUUUUUAGUUAUUGUAAUAUUUUGAUUUAAUUUUUUUGAUUAUAGGUUAUUUGUACUGUGAAGGGUUAGUAGUUAAUUAUUAUGGAAGCUGAUUUUAUUUGUUGUACCUUGUGUAUCAGGGUUCAUUGAAAUAUAUUAUUUAUUUUUUGUUUCCCGAUUUUGAGAGGAGUUAAUGGCAUGCGUUGGUUAUUGUUUCAAUAAUAUUAAUAAUUUGCUGUUGGUAAUGAAAUGUUAUUCGUCUUCGUUGGUAUCUGGUUUUCCAAGAAAUGAAUUUAAUUCAUACAUCUUAUUUAGAUUUAUUAUUUUAUUAUUUAAUUUUUAUAUGAUGUUAAGAUUGAGGGGGAUUAGCUCCUUAUUUUACUUUUAUAAUUUUCUUGUCUUGCAAUUCUUGUUGAUUUUAUAUUGAUUUUCAAUUGGAUUAUGUUAAAAUUUUAUUUUAUUUGUUUUUGAUUUAUUGGUUAUUUAAGGUUUAUAUUGGAACUUUCAUUUUAGUUUUGUUUAUGUCGUGAUUAUUGUGGUAUUAGUAAAUUUUCUUUUUAUAUAAUUGGUUGAUAAUUGUUAAUUUCUUCUUAGGAAUUAGGCAAAAUUUUGUGUCCGCCUGUUUAACAAAAACAUCUUUUCUUGUUAGUUUUUGAAGUAUGGCCUGCCCACUGAUUUAUUGAAGGGCCGCGGUAUUUUGACCGUGCAAAGGUAGCAUAAUCAUUAGUUCUUUAAUUGUGAUCUGGAAUGAAUGGCUUGACGAGAUGCUAGCUGUCUUAGAUUUUGAUGAAAGUUUUAUUUAAUUUGGUCUCUGAGUUAAAAUUCUCAGAUGUUUUUAUGGGACGAGAAGACCCUAUAGAGUUUAGACAUAUUAUCUUUUAUUUAUUAUGUUAGUUUGUCUUUUUAAAGGUUUAUUUGUUUUGUUGGGGUGAUGGGAAGAAUUUAUUAAACUCUUCUUUUCUUUAUUACAUUUAUUUAUGUUAUUAUGAUCCAUUUAUUUUGAUUAUAAGAUUAAAUUACCUUAGGGAUAACAGCGUUAUCCUCCUUGAGAGUUCUUAUUGGCAGGAGGGAUUGCGACCUCGAUGUUGGAUUAAGAUUAAUAUUUGGUGCAGGAGCUGAAUUAUUAGGUCUGUUCGACCUUUAAAAUCUUACAUGAUCUGAGUUCAAACCGGCGUGAGCCAGGUUGGUUUCUAUCUAUAAUAAUUUUAUUCGCUUUAGUACGAGAGGACCA
rnacentral:rRNA from 1 species